GUUAGUUUGAAUCAACAAACCUGUUUGUUAGAAACACAUAUCUUGGUUUAUGAAAGCAACAAACCAAUUUAAUAAAUUUAACAAUCGCAUAUUAUUGAUUCCACAAACAUUUUGUCAGUUUGGCAAACAUGUGUGUUGCCUUUGAUUUGAUUUUUCUCAACGUGUACUGAAAAUUUUGAGUGUAUAUUUUUCACCUUCACUGAAUUAUAAAGAUGGCCGAAGUGAAAAAGGACGCGAAAUGUUUUCAUUGUACGGCUUUAAAAAAAUAAUGCCGAAGAAUGUGGCAAGGUCGAUUACUGGUCCAGUUCCAGCGAAGCUUCCUGGUUUCCUGCUGUUAUCAGAUGACGUGACACCAUGGAGUCAGUGGAGGAUUUUUUUGGCUGCAGUUGCUGGACAACAGUGUUAUUAGUGGAAUAUCGAGUGAUUAUUUUCGUUAAAUUUUAAUGUAAAAUGCUUACUGUGCAAAAAAUAAAUAAAUAGAACAUAAACAA